GAUCAUGGCUCAGAUUGAACGCUGGCGGCAGGCCUAACACAUGCAAGUCGAGCGGUAGAGAGAAGCUUGCUUCUCUUGAGAGCGGCGGACGGGUGAGUAAUGCCUAGGAAUCUGCCUGGUAGUGGGGGAUAACGUUCGGAAACGGACGCUAAUACCGCAUACGUCCUACGGGAGAAAGCAGGGGACCUUCGGGCCUUGCGCUAUCAGAUGAGCCUAGGUCGGAUUAGCUAGUUGGUGAGGUAAUGGCUCACCAAGGCGACGAUCCGUAACUGGUCUGAGAGGAUGAUCAGUCACACUGGAACUGAGACACGGUCCAGACUCCUACGGGAGGCAGCAGUGGGGAAUAUUGGACAAUGGGCGAAAGCCUGAUCCAGCCAUGCCGCGUGUGUGAAGAAGGUCUUCGGAUUGUAAAGCACUUUAAGUUGGGAGGAAGGGCAGUUACCUAAUACGUGAUUGUUUUGACGUUACCGACAGAAUAAGCACCGGCUAACUCUGUG
rnacentral:rRNA from 1 species